rnacentral:rRNA from 1 species
GACGAACGCUGGCGGCGUGCCUAAUACAUGCAAGUAGAACGCACAGUUUAUACCGUAGCUUGCUACACCAUAGACUGUGAGUUGCGAACGGGUGAGUAACGCGUAGGUAACCUGCCUGGUAGCGGGGGAUAACUAUUGGAAACGAUAGCUAAUACCGCAUAAUAUUAAUUAUUGCAUGAUAAUUAAUUGAAAGGUGCAAUUGCACCACUACCAGAUGGACCUGCGUUGUAUUAGCUAGUAGGUGAGGUAACGGCUCACCUAGGCGACGAUACAUAGCCGACCUGGGAGGGUGAUCGGCCACACUGGGACUGAGACACGGCCCAGACUCCUACGGGAGGCAGCAGUAGGGAAUCUUCGGCAAUGGACGAAAGUCUGACCGAGCAACGCCGCGGGAGUGAAGAAGGGUUUCGGAUCGUAAAGCUCUGUUGUAAGAGAAGAACGGGUGUGAGAGUGGAAAGUUCACACUGUGACGGUAUCUUACCAGAAAGGGACGGCUAACUACGUG